rnacentral:rRNA from 1 species
CCCCGGGAGGGGAGUGAAAUAGAACCUGAAACCGUGUGCCUACAACAAGUUCGAGCCCGUUAAUGGGUGAGAGCGUGCCUUUUGUAGAAUGAACCGGCGAGUUACGUUAUGAUGCGAGGUUAAGUUGAAGAGACGGAGCCGUAGGGAAACCGAGUCUGAAUAGGGCGCCUUAGUAUCAUGACGUAGACCCGAAACCAUGUGACCUACCCAUGAGCAGGUUGAAGGUGCGGUAAGACGCACUGGAGGACCGAACCAGGGCACGUUGAAAAGUGCUUGGAUGACUUGUGGGUAGCGGAGAAAUUCCAAACGAACUUGGAGAUAGCUGGUUCUCUCCGAAAUAGCUUUAGGGCUAGCGUCGACAUUAGAGAUUCUUGGAGGUAGAGCACUGUUUGGGUGAGGGGUCCAUCCCGGAUUACCAAUCUCAGAUAAACUCCGAAUGCCAAUGAAUUAUGGUCGGCAGUCAGACUGCGAGUGCUAAGAUCCGUAGUCGAAAGGGAAACAGCCCAGACCACCAGCUAAGGUCCCAAAAUAAUUGUUAAGUGGAAAAGGAUGUGGGGUUGCACAGACAACUAGGAUGUUAGCUUAGAAGCAGCUAUUCAUUCAAAGAGUGCGUAAUAGCUCACUAGUCGAGUGACCCUGCGCCGAAAAUGUACCGGGGCUAAAACAAUUUACCGAAGCUGUGGAUACCUUUAUAGGUAUGGUAGGAGAGCGUUCUAUGUGUGAUGAAGGUAUACCGUGAGGAGUGCUGGAACGCAUAGAAGUGAGAAUGCCGGUAUGAGUAGCGAAAGACAGGUGAGAAUCCUGUCCACCGUAAGACUAAGGUUUCCAGGGGAAGGCUCGUCCGCCCUGGGUUAGUCGGGACCUAAGGAGAGACCGAAAGGUGUAUCCGAUGGACAACAGGUUGAUAUUCCUGUACUAGAGUAUGUAGUGAUGGAGGGACGCAGUAGGCUAACUAAAGCAGACGAUUGGAAGAGUCUGUCUAAGCAGUGAGGUGUGAUAUGAGUCAAAUGCUUAUAUCUGUAACAUUGAGCUGUGAUGGGGAGCGAAGUUUAGUAGCGAAGUUAGUGACGUCACACUGCCAAGAAAAGCUUCUAGCGUUUAAACAUACUCUACCCGUACCGCAAACCGACACAGGUAGUCGAGGCGAGUAGCCUCAGGUGAGCGAGAGAACUCUCGUUAAGGAACUCGGCAAAAUGACCCCGUAACUUCGGGAGAAGGGGUGCUGACUUUAAGUCAGCCGCAGUGAAUAGGCCCAAGCAACUGUUUAUCAAAAACACAGCUCUCUGCUAAAUCGUAAGAUGAUGUAUAGGGGGUGACGCCUGCCCGGUGCUGGAAGGUUAAGAGGAGUGCUUAGCGUAAGCGAAGGUAUGAAUUGAAGCCCCAGUAAACGGCGGCCGUAACUAUAACGGUCCUAAGGUAGCGAAAUUCCUUGUCGGGUAAGUUCCGACCCGCACGAAAGGCGUAAUGAUUUGGGCACUGUCUCAACGAGAGACUCGGUGAAAUUUUAGUACCUGUGAAGAUGCAGGUUACCCGCGACAGGACGGAAAGACCCCAUGGAGCUUUACUGCAGUUUGAUAUUGAGUGUCUGUACCACAUGUACAGGAUAGGUAGGAGUCUAAGAGAUCGGGACGCCAGUUUCGAAGGAGACGCUGUUGGGAUACUACCCUUGUGUUAUGGCCACUCUAACCCAGAUAGGUGAUCCCUAUCGGAGACAGUGUCUGACGGGCAGUUUGACUGGGGCGGUCGCCUCCUAAAAGGUAACGGAGGCGCCCAAAGGUUCCCUCAGAAUGGUUGGAAAUCAUUCGCAGAGUGUAAAGGUAUAAGGGAGCUUGACUGCGAGAGCUACAACUCGAGCAGGGACGAAAGUCGGGCUUAGUGAUCCGGUGGUUCCGUAUGGAAGGGCCAUCGCUCAACGGAUAAAAGCUACCCUGGGGAUAACAGGCUUAUCUCCCCCAAGAGUUCACAUCGACGGGGAGGUUUGGCACCUCGAUGUCGGCUCGUCGCAUCCUGGGGCUGUAGUCGGUCCCAAGGGUUGGGCUGUUCGCCCAUUAAAGCGGCACGCGAGCUGGGUUCAGAACGUCGUGAGACAGUUCGGUCCCUAUCCGUCGCGGGCGUAGGAAAUUUGAGAGGAUCUGCUCCUAGUACGAGAGGACCAGAGUGGACUUACCGCUGGUGUACCAGUUGUCUUGCCAAAGGCAUCGCUGGGUAGCUAUGUAGGGAAGGGAUAAACGCUGAAAGCAUCUAAGUGUGAAACCCACCUCAAGAUGAGAUUUCCCAUGAUUAUAUAUCAGUAAGAGCCCUGAGAGAUGAUCAGGUAGAUAGGUUAGAAGUGGAAGUGUGGCGACACAUGUAGCGGACUAAUACUAAUAGCUCGAGGACUUAUCCAA